UAGGGAAUCCUCCACAAUGGGCGAAAGCCUGAUGGAGCAACGCCGCGUGUGUGAUGAAGGGUUUCGGCUCGUAAAACACUGUUGUAAGAGAAGAAUGACAUUGAGAGUAACUGUUCAAUGUGUGACGGUAUCUUACCAGAAAGGAACGGCUAACUACGUGCUAG
rnacentral:rRNA from 1 species